UACGUAGGGUGCAAGCAUUAAUCGGAUUUAUUGGGCGUAAAGGGCGCGUAGGCGGGAUGAUAAGUCAGAUGUGAAAGCCCGGGGCUCAACCCCGGAACAGCAUUUGAAACUGUCAUUCUAGAGGGUAGGCGGAGAAAAUGGAAUUCCACAAGUAGCGGUGAAAUGCGUAGAUAUGUGGAAGAACACCAGUGGCGAAGGCGGUUUUCUAGCUUAUACCUGACGCUGAGGCGCGAAAGCAAGGGGAGCAAACAG
rnacentral:rRNA from 1 species